rnacentral:rRNA from 1 species
GCACAAGCAGCGGAGCGUGUGGUUUAAUUCGAUGCUACACGAAGAACCUUACCAGGGUUUGACAUGCAAGUGGUAGGAAUCUGAAAAGGGACCGACCCUUCGGGGAGCUUGCACAGGUGCUGCAUGGCUGUCGUCAGCUCGUGUCGUGAGAUGUUCGGUUAAGUCCGCUAACGAGCGCAACCCUCACUGUGUGUUAUAUGUGUCACACGGGACUGCCGGUUUUAAGCCGGAGGAAGGUGGGGAUGACGUCAAGUCAGCAUGGCCUUUAUAUCCUGGGCUACACACACGCUACAAUGGUCGGUACAAUAGGUUGCCAAGCCGCGAGGCGGAGCCAAUCCACAAAGCCGGCCUCAGUUCAGAUUGUAGGCUGCAACUCGCCUGCAUGAAGAUGGAGUUGCUAGUAACCGCAGGUCAGCAUACUGCGGUGAAUACGUUCCCGGGCCUU